GAUGAACGCUGGCGGCGUGCCUAAUACAUGCAAGUCGAGCGAACAGACGAGGAGCUUGCUCCUCUGACGUUAGCGGCGGACGGGUGAGUAACACGUGGAUAACCUACCUAUAAGACUGUGAUAACUUCGGGAAACCGGAGCUAAUACCGGAUAAUAUAUUGAACCGCAUGGUUCAAUAGUGAAAGACGGUUUUGCUGUCACUUAUAGAUGGAUCCGCGCCGCAUUAGCUAGUUGGUAAGGUAACGGCUUACCAAGGCGACGAUGCGUAGCCGACCUGAGAGGAUGAUCGGCCACACUGGAACUGAGACACGGUCCAGACUCCUACGGGAGGCAGCAGUAGGGAAUCUUCCGCAAUGGGCGAAAGCCUGACGGAGCAACGCCGCGUGAGUGAUGAAGGUCUUCGGAUCGUAAAACUCUGUUAUUAGGGAAGAACAAAUGUGUAAGAAACUAUGCACGUCUUGACGGUACCUAAUCAGAAAGCAACGGCUAACUACGUG
rnacentral:rRNA from 1 species